rnacentral:lncRNA from 1 species
CUUAUCCGCCUUAUUCAGAUCUCCAAAACUAGCAUAAGCAGACUCUUGUCACACUCUUAAGUUUGAAGUACUUUUGAUUAAAAACGGUGAUGCUCAGUGUGUAUAGAGAAAGCCUGUGAUUCGCAUUACAACUGGAAGACAAGCCUUGAUGAACUAUACGGCGGUGAUCUUGUUCUCUUAGUAGUUUGAUACUUUAAUAUAGAGUAUGCUUUACUUCACUCUUCUAAUUGUGUGUUAUCCAACUUUCAGGUGGGAUUGGAAUAUAAUAUUGCAAUCACACUUUCUUUGAUGCAUUCUUGUAGUGUAUUGCUUGAUGUGAACACAAGAAUUCUUCUGCUUGAUUGCUUCUGCUUGUCUAGCGACCAAACUAAAAACCCGAUUUCAGGUCAUCAGGGAAAACACAGCUUGCACACACUGUUUCUACUCAGGUUUGUCUUUCUAUAUAUGCAUAGGUUUUAGCAUACUGCGAAAUCUAGGCAUUACUGUGUGGUCUUUCACUAACUUAAAAAAAAAAAAUGAAAUUUGAGCAGUCUAAUAUUAAAUCUAUGUGAUUCAGUAUCAUAGAGUAUACUUACUAAGGGACAAUAUAUGGUUCUUCUCAUGAUAGAAUUUGGAAACCACCAAGCGAUAGUUGCAGUUUUCGUCCCACGCUGUCAUUAUAACUGAAGUUGAAAUGUCGGUACUACUUUUCCUUAUGAUUAAACUAUUGCAAUUGCAUUU